rnacentral:tRNA from 1 species
GGCCCUAUGGUCAAGCGGUUAAGACAUCGCCCUUUCACGGCGGUAACUCGGGUUCGAAUCCCGGUAGGGUCACCA